AGCAGUAGCCACGGUAAUACGGAGGAUCCAAGCGUUAUCCGGAAUCAUUGGGUUUAAAGGGUCCGUAGGCAGUCUUGUAAGUCAGUGGUGAAAGCCCAUCGCUCAACGGUGGAACGGCCAUUGAUACUGCAGGACUUGAAUUAUUGGGAAGUAACUAGAAUAUGUAGUGUAGCGGUGAAAUGCUUAGAGAUUACAUGGAAUACCAAUUGCGAAGGCAGGUUACUACCAAUUGAUUGACGCUGAUGGACGAAAGCGUGGGUAGCGAACAGGAUUAGAUACCCGUGUAGUCCCUGUCUCUUAUAC
rnacentral:rRNA from 1 species